CGGAAUCACUGGGCGUAAAGGGCGCGUAAGCGGUCAUGUAUGUCAGGUGUGAAAUCCCUAGGCUUAACUUAGGAAUUGCGCUUGAAACUGCAUGGCUAGAGGCUGGGAGAGGAAAGUGGAAUUCCUGGUGUAGCGGUGAAAUGCGUACAUAUCAGGAGGAACACCGGUGGCGAAAGCGGCUUUCUGGACCAGUUCUGACGCUGAGGCGCGAAAGCGUGGGGAGCAAACGGGAUUAGAUACCCCGGUAGUCCACGCUGUAAACGAUGAGCACUAGGUGUAGCGGGUAUCGACCCCUGCUGUGCCGCAGUUAACGCAUUAAGUGCUCCGCCUGGGGAGUACGGUCGCAAGACUGAAACUCAAAGGAAUUGACGGGGGCCCGCACAAGCGGUGGAGUAUGUGGUUUAAUUCGAUGCAACGCGAAAAACCUUACCGGGGCUUGACAUGCUUUCGACUGGCGCUGAAAGGCGUCUUCCCGCAAGGGUGGAAGCAAAGGUGCUGCAUGGCUGUCGUCAGCUCGUGUCCUGAGAUGUUGGGUU
rnacentral:rRNA from 1 species